rnacentral:rRNA from 1 species
AGUCUGGUGCCAGCAGCCGCGGUAAUUCCAGCUCCAAUAGCGUAUAUUAAAGUUGUUGCAGUUAAAAAGCUCGUAGUUGGAUUUCUGGACUGAGAUGCCUGGCCCGUCCUCGUCAGAGGCGCGUGUGCUGGAGUGUUUCUUCCAUACUUCUAGAGAGCAGCGUUGCACUUAACUGUGUAGCGUUUGUCAUCUAGAUCUUUUACUUUGAAGAAAUUAGAGUGUUUAAAGCAGGCUUGCGCUAUGAAUACAUUAGCAUGGAAUAAUAAUUUAGGACUUUGUUUCUAUUUUGUUGGUUUCUAGAGGCGAAGUAAUGAUUGAUAGGGACAGUUGGGGGUGCUAGUAUUCAGCGGCCAGAGGUGAAAUUCUUGGAUUCGCUGAAGACUAACUUAUGCGAAAGCAUUCACCAAGGAUGUCUUCUUUAAUCAAGAACGAAAGUUGGGGGAUCGAAGACGAUCAGAUACCGUCGUAGUCUCAACUAUAAACGAUACCGACUAGGGAUUAGUGGAAGUUGCUUAUUCGACUCCAUUAGCACCUUAUGAGAAAUCAAAGUCUUUGGGUUCCGGGGGGAGUAUGGUCGCGAGGCUGAAACUUAAAGGAAUUGACGGAAGGGCACCACCAGGAGUGGAGCCUGCGGCUUAAUUUGACCCAACACGGGGAAACUUACCAGGUCCAGACAUAGUGAGGAUUGACAGAUUGAAGUUCUUUCUUGAUUCUAUGGGUAGUGGUGCAUGGCCGUUCUUAGUUGGUGGAGUGAUUUGUCUGGUUAAUUCCGUUAACGAACGAGACCUCGACCUACUAAAUAGUUUGGCGUACCUUCGGGUACGUACGCACUUCUUAGAGGGACUGUCGGUUUUUAGCCGAAGGAAGUUCGAGGCAAUAACAGGUCUGUGAUGCCCUUAGAUGUUCUGGGCCGCACGCGCGCUACACUGAUACGUUCAUCGAGCAUACAACCUUGGCUGAGAGGCCUGGGUAAUCUUUUCAAAGCGUAUCGUGCUGGGGAUAGAUCAUUGUAAUUAUUGAUCUUCAACGAGGAAUUCCUAGUAAACGCGAGUCAUCAACUCGCAUUGAUUACGUCCCUGCCCUUUGUACACACCGCCCGUCGCUGCUACCGAUUGAAUGGAUUAGUGAGCCUCAGGAAUCGCCUAGCUGAUGGGCAACUGUCGGCUAGGUGAGAACUGCUGCAAACUUGCUCAUUUAGAGGAAGCAAAAGUCGUAACAAGGUAUCCGUAGGUGAACCUGCGGAUG